GCUAAAUGUUAAAUCAUAUGAAGGUCGAUAGUUUACCCUGAAACUUUAAAGCAAACAUUAAAAAUAUUAUUAAACUAAAUGUGACUCAACACAUUAAUUUAAUUAAAAAUACGCUAAUUAUGACAAUCAGUACAAGAGUAAUAUGUAGAUUUUUUUUUUUUUUCCGUAAUGAAAUAAGUUUAAAUAAUUAAAAAAUAAUUUUUCAGCUGUCCUCAAGAAGAAGAAAAUCAGAAAAUGCAUGAGGGUUGGCGUCCUCGCGCUCCUGCAGUUUGCUCGCGCGCGCGUGCAAGAGCGAUUUCAAAUAGAAAGAAAGUAAGGGUUGCUUUCCUCAAAGAAACAACCGCCGCACAGGGUGAGUAAAGGCUCCAAUAUAAAUACACAGAUUUAUUAUUUGUACACUAAUUCCUAGACUGACAAGCUUAACUGUAUGUUUUUAUUUUAAAAUGUUUGUUUUAACCAUUAAUUUAAUAGCCGCGAUGCCUUUGUAAACUUUGUGUGAAUUGUGUCCUGUGUGAAUUUUCAGCAGGGGUUCAGAUAAAAAAUCGGCAGCUGGCAGCAGGAAGUGGCUGCCAUUGACAGCCGGAAGGCAGUUACUGGCAGCCGGAAGGUAGGCGGGACCUGCCACUCGGUGGCAGCCAAUCAGAAUCGACCAACGUGGAAGCAACCAAUCACAUAUAACUACAACAGCAGCCAAAUGCUUUAGUAAUGGCGGCGAUUGAUCGAGCGUUAAGUUCGGAAAUUGGUGAUCGGAGUAAUGAAUAAUUUUUGCGUUUUGCCAGAUGCUGUCCUGUCGGAAAUUCUUCUUCACAUGGUCCUGGAGGAGGGUGAUGCUGCAUUAUUAAAUCUGUCUUUGGUUUGUUCCAAAUUCAGAAGUCUGGUGUAUACAGAAUCAUUUCAGAAGAAGGCACAUUUCUCCUGGCUUGACAGUAUGUAUUUUUUUACAUAUUUGAUUAGAGGUUUAAAAUGGUGCCAUACCAUUAAAUUUCUCAGUUGCCAUGUCUGAAUGUUUAUCUUUGUAAUAAUGCUGUUUUUAUGUUUCUCAUCUCAAUAUACAGGUGUAACAAAAUGGAGAACAAGUCUGAGCCACGCCAGGAAUUCUUCAAAAUGUACACAGUGCAACCCUGCAGACACUGCCAUGAGGUUUACAAGUACUGCUUACCAGGUGUGUAAAUUAAGCAUGAAAAUGUGAUCACUGCUAGAUACAUGAUGACAAAAUGCAAUGGGAAUAAUCAUUUUAUUAACAGUAGACAUGCAUGCACAGCCAUACCUCAGGAUUGUUGUUAGUGAUUCUAAUUGAUAUUUCCGUCUGCUUGCUUACUGGAUGUAUUUUAUACUGUUUACAUUGUAUAGCACUGACUUUGACAACAUACCAAGCCUGUUACAAAUUUAACAGCUACGUUAUUAUAUGUAUAAUUGUUUCUUGAAAUACUACAAAUGUAAAAAAUAUAACAGCAAAAUAUGAUUUUAAAUAAAGGUAAUUGAUGAGACA
ensembl:lncRNA